UUUUUUUUUUUUUUCCAGUAGAGGUACUUUAAAAAACAUUUUAUUGAGAAAUAAUUUAAACUUCCAGGAAAGUGGUAAGUUAAAAAAAAAAAAACAACACCUAUGUAUGCUUUACUCAGAUUUACCUAUUGUUCACAAAUCAUCUGCCUCAUUUAUCAGUAUUCCUUUCUCUCCUCUUCUCCAUUAAAAAAGUGAGACAUUUGUUGAGUAAGAUGCAUACCCCUAAAUACUUUAAUGUUUAUUUCCUAAAAGUAAGGACAUUCUCUUACAUAACCACAGGACAGUUAUUGUGAUGCUUUGACCCAGCAUUCGUCCAACAGCGUCCUUCAUGGCAUCGUUCCCCUCCAGUGAAACCUCCAGUCUAAGGGCAGACGUGGCAGGUACCUGUCAUGCUCACCUUUAUCUUUUAUGUCCUUGAUGUUUUUGGUGAACAUAGGUUCCUCCACCCCACUUUUGAACUAGAAGAUGUCUCAUUUUGAAUUUGGUUGGUAUUUGCUUAUAACUAAAUGAAUUUUGCAUUCUCAGCCAGAACCCUACCCAAGGGAUAUGAUGUCCUUUUUAGGACAUCACAUCAGGGGGUCACUUGAUGGCCUCUGCCCCUCACUGAUGGUAAGUUUGGAUUAGCUGGUCAAGGUGUUAGCCAAUUUCUCUACUAUAUAUUGCUCAAAAAAUGUCCCCUUAGGUGUAGCAUCCACAGUGUUUCCUGUCUGAACUGACCUUUUACUGUGAUGGCUACAAAUGAUUUUUCAAUUCCAGCACUUCCUCUACCUUUAUCAGUUGUGCUUGAUCAUCUAUAGGCAAAGGCCCUUCUUUCCUUCUAUUCAUUUUUUUUUUUUUUUUUUUUUUUUUUUUGUUUUUUUUUUUGUCUUUUGUCUUUUUGUUGUUGUUGCGAUUUCUUCGGCCUCUCCUGCGGCAUAUGGAGGUUCCCAGGCUAGGGGUCUAAUCAGAGUUGUAGCCACCAGCCUACACCAGAGCCACAGCAACGCAGGAUCCGAGCCGUGUCUGUAACCUACACCACAGCUCACAGCAAUGCCGGAUCCUUAACCCACUGAGCAAGGCCAGGGAUCGAACC
rnacentral:lncRNA from 1 species